GGAGCUUCUUCCAGAUCUCCCACAUGCAUGCAGGGGCCCAAGGAGUUGGGCCAUCUUCUACUGCUUUCCCAGGCCAUAGCAGAGAGCUGGAUUGGAAGAGGAGCAGCUGGGACUAGAAGCAGUGCACAUAUGGAAUGCCACUCCAUGCCAAUGUGUGUCCUGUUGCCAGUGAGGAGUGUGCCUGUGCCUGGCGCUUUGACCCAGAAGUGCACCUGCAGGUGCCACCACUUCUGCCCUUGAUGCACUGGUGGGAGUCAACGCCAUGUCUGCUCCUUCCCAGAGCCUUGAGGAGCCGCCUUCAAUGCUUUUGGCUGAACCUGAGGAGACCCAGGGCCCCCCCAGGCUCAGGCCGGGAUCAGACUGCACACACAGAGGAGAAAGCAGAAGCUUAGAGAAAUGCCAAGAAUCCCUCAGUGCCCUGUUCCAGCCUGCCCCAAGAUUCUGACACCUCACAACUGCACACAUGGAGGAGAAAGCAGAAGCUUAGAGAAACGCCAAGAAUCCCUCUGUGCUCUGUUCCAGCCUGUCCAAAAUUCUGACACCUCACACCCCUUCUGGAAGCAAUGGCUGUCCCGCCAGCAGACCAGGCCCCCUUGGAGUGGUGAUACCAGUUUACAUUCCCACCAGCAGUGGAUUAGGUUGCCAUUUCCCUCACAUGCUCAAGUCCAUUGUAGAAUUGAUUUCCAUUUCCCUGAUGGCUAGUGAUCCUGAGCAUUUUUUUUAUUUUAAUUUUAAUUUAAUGAAUACAUUUUUACAUAGAUACAACUUUUGGACUAUAGUGGUUCUUUCCCCAUAUCCCUCCAACCCCCAUCCCAGCUCCCAUGCUCGCUCCCAUCUCAUUGUUCAUUAUGGAUCAUUUUUAGUAUGACUGUAUAUAUAGAAAACCAAUUCUAUGCUAAUCAUAGACUUCAGCAAUUUGCACCCACGCCAACAUACAACAUGUAGAGUACAGUUUGGGGAGAGAAUUUGCAGUCAAUUCUCAUAUUACUAUUCAAUAGGGACAGAGGUCCUACCUGAGAAGCAAGUGAAAAGCACAGUCCUCUUCUUUGGCCCCUCUGAAAGACUACACCUCAGGUCUGGAUUCCUGUGUCAGAGGAACAGAAAGGCUCUUUCUGUGGAGAGUUUGGCGUGGUGGCCUUCCUGUCACUGGG